AUUUUAAGACUAGACCCACAAGUCAAAUCACAUCCUAUCGCUUCAUUGAUCCAAAAAUCUUGAUCAACAGGAACAAGUUACCCUAGGGAUAACAGCUAGA
rnacentral:rRNA from 1 species